AACAAACAGAAUUUGAGAUUUGAAUUUGAAAAUCAAAACAAGAAAGGGAGUAAUUUGAAACACGCGUAACAAGGGAAGGGUCGAAGGAGCAAAUUACCCAAAAAUACUGCACAGCACUGGGCUAAAAUAAAAUAGAUUCGAUAUUUCAUGGAAAAAUUUGAAAACAAAAAAAAAUGGUUUUGAAAUGAUAGGAUAAAAUGGAAGGAUUAAAAACAUAAAUAACCCAUAAAUAGAAUCUCAUUUCAUUUGCAGCCAAUAAAACCCAUUUCAAACCCCUAAAAGAGAACUCCUCUGCCAUUCAAAAUCGCGCCGCAGCAGUUCUCCUCCGCCGUUCCAGUCCCCUCCCAUGUCCGACCAGAUGACGACGAAACGAGGACGCUCUCUGACGACUCUCGCAACGGUGCGAGCGUGUGGCGUGCGCGGAGUGCUGAACGUGGGACGGUGUGGAGGCUACUGAACGUGGGGAAUGUGGUGCUGUUAAUUGCUGCUAGGAUUUCUGCUGUUUUAGGUCAAUUGGGCCCUGUAAUUGGGUUUAGCUUGGCCCAAGUUUUAUUGGGUUCAAUUGUAUUUAAUUUUAGUAUUUGAUUUGGGUUGUGUAAAUGGUUUUGGGCUUUUGGGUUAGUUAGGCCCGGGUCAAAAUUUGGGUAUUACAAUGAUCAUGCAAAGGGGACUAAAGACGGUAACAAAAACUAUAGCUUAAUAAUUGAGUAUUAUUAUAAAUAAA